rnacentral:lncRNA from 1 species
AUUUGAGUUGUCAGUGGUGAAUUCACAUGGGUCUGCAGCAGCCUCAACUCUUGCCUCCUUGGAAGAAAGAAUUCAUCUGAAGAGCAUAAGGCGGAAAAAGGAGACUGAGGCAAGUUUCCGAGCGGGAGUGGAAGUUUAUUAAAAAGCUUUAGAGCAGGAAAGAAAAAGUACACUUGGAAGAGACCCAAGCACGCACUGUGGAGGUGGAGUGCAGCAUUUGACCUUUUGACUUGGGGUCUUAUAUAUUGGCGUACUUCUGGGGCCUUGUGUCCCUUUUCCCAUGAUGCUUUCCUUAGGGUGGGCUGCCUGCAUGCACGGUGCCCUCCUUGCACUCCGGACGUGAGCAUUCGCAGUGGGUUUGUGAAGUUGUAUGUAUGUUUGCCUGAGGCUGCUUCCCUUUUCCGGUAGGACGCCCCCAGAAGGUCAUACUCUGCCAUUUUGUCUCUUAAUGCGCUUGCUCUAGCCCACUUACCCAAUUCCUGAGAUUUUAUUGGAAGCCGCUGGUGAGCAAUUUCAAGUGCCUUUAUCUAUUGGGAAAUUGCCUCUCCCUGGCGCCUGCGACCAAUGAUCAUUUUUAGACAGCCAGUGUAACAACUGUGGGACCAUCACCUCAAGGACUAAACUGAUUUUUUAUCUUGCCCAAAUUCCUAUCUAAGGGGUCUGGGGAGUCCUGCC